AGAGUUUGAUCCUGGCUCAGAAUCAAUGCUGGCGGCGUGCCUAACACAUGCAAGUCGAACGCGAAAGGGGAGCAAUCCCUGAUUAGAGUGGCAAACGGGUGAGUAACACGUGGGUGACCUGCCUUCGAGUGGGGGAUAACCUUCCGAAAGGAGGGCUAAUACCGCAUGACGUACCGUGUUUGGAUACACGGAUAUCAAAGCCGGGGAUCGCAAGACCUGGCGCUUGGUGAGGGGCCCGCGUCCGAUUAGCUAGUUGGUGAGGUAACGGCUCACCAAGGCUCCGAUCGGUAUCCGGCCUGAGAGGGCGGACGGACACACUGGAACUGAGACACGGUCCAGACUCCUACGGGAGGCAGCAGUGGGGAAUUGUUCGCAAUGGGCGAAAGCCUGACGACGCAACGCCGCGUGGAGGAUGAAGAAUUUCGGUUCGUAAACUCCUUUC
rnacentral:rRNA from 1 species